AAUGAACGUUGGCGGCGUGGAUUAGGCAUGCAAGUCGUACGGGCCAGCAAUGGUCAGUGGCGAAAGGGAGAGGAAUACGCAGGUAUCUACCUCCGGGUCGGGGAUGGCCACGGGAAACUGUGGGUAAUACCCGAUAACGUCUCCGGACCAAAGGUGUGAUUCCACCUGGAGAGGAGCCUGCGCCCUAUUAGCUUGUUGGCGGGGUAACGGCCCACCAAGGCUACGAUGGGUACGGGGUGUGAGAGCAUGCCCCCGCUCACUGGGACUGAGACACUGCCCAGACACCUACGGGUGGCUGCAGUCGAGAAUCUUCCGCAAUGGGCGCAAGCCUGACGGAGCGACGCCGCGUGUGGGAUGAAGGCCUUCGGGUUGUAAACCACUGUCGUAGGGGAGGAAGGACCGGUGCAGAGCCGGUUUUGACCUAUCCUAGGAGGAAGGGUGGGCUAAGUUCGUGCCAGCCGCCGCGGUAAUAC
rnacentral:rRNA from 1 species